CCCUGUUUUUGUUUUAAUUUUAUUUCCGUGGCUAAAUAAAUUCAAUUUUCACCAACAGUCUUUUCCUUUGUUAUUUGGUUAUUUCCCUGGUUGUGUGACGUUUUUCAUUAGUGAGUCCUUCAGGAAUAGCUCAUGAGAAAAACAUCACGGAAGGUGCUGCUGGCCCACAGCUGCGAGCGUCUCCUCUGUGCCGAACAGCAGCGCGGCUGGGGACAAACGUCCGAAUCACUCCGUCUUUGUGUGAGGAAUGUUUAGGUGGUGCUACACCGUCCUCUAGCAGUGACGCUGCUGUGCAGAGCCCUGAGGCCAGCCUGAAUUGUGUCUCUCAUCCAUGGCUGGCUAUGCUUGCUUGGCCGCCCAGGACAGAGAUUCUUCAUUUGGGAGGUUCAAGGAAGACAGCUUCCUACAAAUGCGGGUUUCCUCAUUUGGUCCCACUUCCACCGCCUCUUGGAAUCAAACAGGGUGCGGAGGAGCUCCCACGAUUAGCCGUACACUCUGUUCUGCCUGCAACAAGCAAGGAAUUUGAGUUUAAACCUCAAGGUGUGCCUGUCAGCUUUAAGAAAUUUAUUUUUCUUGCUGAUUUUGAGACCUGCCAGUGAGCAUCCUUCCCCUGCCUUUGCUCAAUGUGCCCCUGCAUUGUACCCACCGCUCUCAGUAGCCCCACCAGCCAUCUGGAACUCGGGAGGGGUUGUGUGCCUGAUACCUCUACUAAAAGUGGCGUUUGUGUUUUCAUUUGUCAUUCUCCUUGCUGCUUUUCAGAAUUUUUCCAUAAAUAAAACAAGAAACUGCAGAGUUUAUGUCUGUGUCUUAAAAAUAAGAGCCCCUGCCUCCUUGGUGUUUUUUGUUUUGCAAAUGUCUUCUGUUAUUCAUCACCAUAUGGCAACUUUAUUUCUGACGUUUUAUUUUUAAGCCAAAAUCAUUUAAUGUUGUUAAAUCCAUCAAGUUUUCAUCUUAUAGUUUGUGCUUUUGGUGUUUUCUCUAAAAUGUCUUUCCCUUCCCUCCUCUUCACGAAACUUCUUCACUAUGGGUGGG
rnacentral:lncRNA from 1 species